rnacentral:rRNA from 1 species
CUUCCGUAGGUGAACCUGCGGAAGGAUCAUUACCGAGUGUAGGGUUCCUAGCGAGCCCAACCUCCCACCCGUGUUUACUGUACCUUAGUUGCUUCGGCGGGCCCGCCAUUCGUGGCCGCCGGGGGCUCUCAGCCCCGGGCCCGCGCCCGCCGGAGACACCACGAACUCUGUCUGAUCUAGUGAAGUCUGAGUUGAUUGUAUCGCAAUCAGUUAAAACUUUCAACAAUGGAUCUCUUGGUUCCGGCAUCGAUGAAGAACGCAGCGAAAUGCGAUAACUAGUGUGAAUUGCAGAAUUCCGUGAAUCAUCGAGUCUUUGAACGCACAUUGCGCCCCCUGGUAUUCCGGGGGGCAUGCCUGUCCGAGCGUCAUUGCUGCCCAUCAAGCACGGCUUGUGUGUUGGGUCGUCGUCCCCUCUCCGGGGGGGACGGGCCCCAAAGGCAGCGGCGGCACCGCGUCCGAUCCUCGAGCGUAUGGGGCUUUGUCACCCGCUCUGUAGGCCCGGCCGGCGCUUGCCGAACGCAAAUCAAUCUUUUUCCAGGUUGACCUCGGAUCAGGUAGGGAUACCCGCUGAACUUAAGCAUAUCAAUAAGCGGAGGAA